AGUUGAGUUGAGUUGAGUAUAGAAACCUAAAAAUAUCACUUUACCAAGUCAAGGAGUCAAUAACUUUAUCAACCAUGAUAUCAUAAUGCAUUGAUGCAGAAAAUAAGGGUCUCAAGAAAAUAUAACAUAAGAAUAAAAUAUAACAUAAGAAUCAAAUAAGUCUAGUAUUUUAGUCUAAGGUUGUCAAUUUUAGGCGUCUAGAAUAAUAUGUUGAUAAUUCUGCUCCUUCAAAGAAAACCCCAAUCCCCAAGGAAUUGUUCAUGGAAAAGUUUUGUUCACAAUACCAAUAUAACAUUUGUGAAAGUCACAAAUUCAGAGUUUCCCUCUUCUACUGGUCAAUUUUAAUCAAUACAAGCCUCAAGUCUUCACAUAUUUCAAAAUCUUUUGACCUUCAGAAAUCCACCUAAGAGGCACAGGCACCACUUAACCAGAGUCCUACUACAUCAAUUUGAUCAAUUUAUUCAACCUUCUUAACUGGCCUACAUUAUACUAAAUGUUUCCACAGGAUAAAAACUGGACUUAAAACUGUUUUAGAAUGUAAACAAAACAUUAAAAGCAACAUCAAACAAAUUCUUACUUGCAAAAAGACACUUCCAUUCAAGACCAGAGGAUGAUUGUGUAAAUCAGUAUGUGGAGGGAGUAUCAACAGGUCAGGUACAAUGUCAUCCUUCCGAACCUAUGUGACAGAGAAGAAAAACAAUGUACUCCAGUUUGUGGUGCUGUCUUAUGUUUUAUUUAAAACUAAGAUCUUACUCAAAAACCAUUCACUAAAAUACACAAAGGUUGCAGAAAUUACCGUGAACUGUUUCCCUAAUUCAAGUAAAGCACAAUCAACAUCUGCUUUCAGAGUAUUUAUACGAACACAACAAGGUUUUGAAACAU
rnacentral:misc_RNA from 1 species